CUUUAGUGAGAGUACUCCAGCAGAAGAAAUAGGGGCCUGAAAACAGCAACCCUGAUGAGGAGGUAGCUGCCAGCAGGGCAAAGGAAAAGGACACUAACUUUGAGCGCUUGUCUCAGAUCUCAUGUCAGUCCUGCAAGAUAUUGGAAUAUUCUUCAUGUAAUGCAGUAUCACUUCUGUAUGAAGCCACGUGUAACUUGUCCCCCUCCUUUCCAUCAUGAGAACUACUGAAGAUGUAAACCAAAUCCAGGGAAACCAGUGACAUUUGUGAAUAGUAGACGGGAUAAAAGUUGCUGGACACACUCU
rnacentral:lncRNA from 1 species